rnacentral:rRNA from 1 species
GUGGACGCCAGUCUGCAUGGAGCCGACCUUGAAAUACCACCCUUUAAUGUUUGAUGUUCUAACGUGGACCCGUAAUCCGGGUUGCGGACAGUGUCUGGUGGGUAGUUUGACUGGGGCGGUCUCCUCCUAAAGAGUAACGGAGGAGCACGAAGGUUGGCUAAUCCUGGUCGGACAUCAGGAGGUUAGUGCAAUGGCAUAAGCCAGCUUGACUGCGAGCGUGACGGCGCGAGCAGGUGCGAAAGCAGGUCAUAGUGAUCCGGUGGUUCUGAAUGGAAGGGCCAUCGCUCAACGGAUAAAAGGUACUCCGGGGAUAACAGGCUGAUACCGCCCAAGAGUUCAUAUCGACGGCGGUGUUUGGCACCUCGAUGUCGGCUCAUCACAUCCUGGGGCUGAAGUAGGUCCCAAGGGUAUGGCUGUUCGCCAUUUAAAGUGGUACGCGAGCUGGGUUUAGAACGUCGUGAGACAGUUCGGUCCCUAUCUGCCGUGGGCGCUGGAGAAUUGAGGGGGGCUGCUCCUAGUACGAGAGGACCGGAGUGGACGCAUCACUGGUGUUCGGGUUGUCAUGCCAAUGGCACUGCCCGGUAGCUAAAUGCGGAAAAGAUAAGUGCUGAAAGCAUCUAAGCACG